CAAUUUUCUGCCACCGAAUACAUUAGCAUGGGAUAAUGGAAUAGGACCCUGUCCUCCUAUUUUCAGUUGGUUUUGGCAGCGCGAGGACUAGGGUAAUGAUUAAUAGGGAUAGUUGGGGGCAUUAAUAUUUAAUUGUCAGAGGUGAAAUUCUUGGAUUUAUGAAAGAUUAACUUCUGCGAAAGCAUCUGCCAAGGAUGUUUUCAUUAAUCAAGAACGAAAGUUAGGGGAUCGAAGACGAUCAGAUACCGUCGUAGUCUUAACCAUAAACGAUGCCGACCAGCGAUUAGGAGACGUUGAAUACAAAACACCACCAUCGGCGCGGUCGUCCUUGGCGUGUCUCGGCUUCACGGCUGGGGCGCGCGAGGGCGGUUUAGCCCGGUGGCACCGGUGAAUGACUCCCU
rnacentral:rRNA from 1 species